rnacentral:rRNA from 1 species
UUUUUCCUACGGGGCGCAGCAGUAGGGAAUUUUGCGCAAUGGGGGAAACCCUGACGCAGCAACGCCGCGUGAUCGAUGAAGCCCUUCGGGGUGUAAAGAUCUGUCAGUGGGGACGAAACCUGACGGUACCCACAGAGGAAACACCGGCUAACUCCGUGCCAGCAGCCGCGGUAAUACGGGGGGUGCAAGCGUUGUCCGGAAUCAUUGGGCGUAAAGAGUUCGUAGGUGGCACGUUAAGUCUGGUGUUAAAGGCGGAAGCUCAACUUCCGUAGGGCACUGGAUACUGGCGAGCUUGAAUGAGGUAG